AAGACAACUGCAACGAAUACCUCAAUCACUGCUUCAUCACUAUCUCUAUCAUCUCACCACCGCUUCCGUCUAUUUCACAAAUUAAAGACGGCGAUUAAAGAGUCGGCGUCUACUAUCGCUUCCUAUUUUCCCCCCUUUUUCUCCUCUUCCACCGCAAGCUCAAGUCGUUUCUUCAACCUACCUUAACGUCGAUUUCCCUCCACCGCAUUCCUUCCUUCAACAUUGAAGAUUAUGAUUGGAGAGGCACAUGUUUUAAUUGUAUCAGAUCACUAUCAAAGUGGAUACCGAGCAGAGCAUAACGACAUCCCUCUCCACCUCUUUCGUCUCUCAGAUGAAGAUAGUUUGGUGUUCUUGUCCAUGGCGAUCUGAUUAGCGUGAAGCGUUGCUGACAUCAACUAUUUCAUGCUUAAAACAAACAACACUAUUUUUCUGUUUCUCUCCCUUUAUACAUCAACAAUGGACGUUCGGUAAUCAAUCGAAUCAAUUGCUUGCGGCUAUAAUUGCUUUAGAUAAUCAUGCUCAAAACAACCUUCUUCUAUGCUACAAGAAUACACUCGGGAUUUCUUCACCAUCGCUCCAUCAAAGGCCCCUUUCCUAAAAUCUUUUUUAUUCAGGCUUAAUUGCAACUCAUGAUUUUUGUAUUUUUUUCUGAUAUUUAGUAAUAUAUAUA